GUGCACCAGGCGAGAAACCUCCGCAAUACACGAAAGUGUGACGGGGCCAUCCCGAGUGCCGUCCGCUGAGGACGGCUUUUCCCCAGUGUACACAGCUGGGGGAAUAAGGAGAGGGCAAGCCUGGUGUCAGCCGCCGCGGUAAUACCAGCUCUCCGAGUGGUGGGGACGCUUAUUGGGCCUAAAGCAUCCGUAGCCGGCUGGGCAAGUCCUCCGUUAAAUCCAACGAUUCAAUCGUUGGGCUGCGGGGGAUACUGUCCAGCUUGGGGGCGGGAGAGGCCGACGGUAUUCCCGGGGUAGGGGUGAAAUCCUAUAAUCCCGGGAGGACCACCAGUGGCGAAGGCUGUCGGCUAGAACGCGCCCGACGGUGAGGGAUGAAAGCUGGGGGAGCGAACCGGAUUAGAUA
rnacentral:rRNA from 1 species